AGUGAACGCUGGCGGUAGGCCUAACACAUGCAAGUCGAACGGCAGCACAGUAAGAGCUUGCUCUUACGGGUGGCGAGUGGCGGACGGGUGAGGAAUACAUCGGAAUCUACUUUUUCGUGGGGGAUAACGUAGGGAAACUUACGCUAAUACCGCAUACGACCUACGGGUGAAAGCAGGGGAUCUUCGGACCUUGCGCGAUUGAAUGAGCCGAUGUCGGAUUAGCUAGUUGGCGGGGUAAAGGCCCACCAAGGCGACGAUCCGUAGCUGGUCUGAGAGGAUGGUCAGCGAAAGUGGAAGUGAGACGGGAUCAAGACUACUACGGGAGGCAGCAGUGGGGAAUAGGGGGCAAUGGGGGCGAGCAUGAUACAGCGAGAGGGCGUGGGUGAAGAAGGCGUUCGGGGUGGAAAGCCCUUUUGCUGGGAAAGAAAAGCAGCAGGUGGAGACCCCGCUGGUCUGACGGUACCGAAUGAAGAAGCACCGGCUAACUUCGUG
rnacentral:rRNA from 1 species